CACAGAGCCCGACACGGGACUCGAACUCACGGACUGUGAGAUCACGACCUGAGCUGAAGUCGGAUGCUUAACUGACUGAGCCACCCAGGUGCCCUCUAUUAGCUCUUUUGUAGAUUCCACUGGAUUUUCUACAUAACCAGUCAAGUCAUCUAUAAAUAAGGACAGUUCUUACUUCUUCCUUUUCAAUCUGGAUGCAUUUUGUAUUGAUUGUUGUACAUGCAAGAUUUUAAUUGUAGAGGUGACUGAGUGAUGACACAGAGCUAAUGCCAUUGAAGGAAAUUUUCUAUAAUUUUUAUUUCCUAAGAGAAGGGAAAAUGCCAUGUCAUUAGAGGGCCACCUGGGGAAACACUAGAGGAGGUAGAGGCAAGAACAAGCAGAAAGCAUAGACCACAGACUUAAUCGUGUUUUCACCAGGCAAGACAUGGCAAAGAAGGGGAAACAGCUUAGGAUUGGUGGGCUUUGGGCUACAACUGCUAUCGCUAGUUGCCUGGAAUCCAGCACAGGGUUGACUCAGGGCAGAAGAAAUAUUGGCCUGGUGUGUGAAAGUUAGAUAAAAGAAGUGGUUUAGAGUAUGGGCCCCAUGGGUUAGUUUGUAUAUGAGAGACAUGCUCCUAGGACAGCCCUUUGCAAGUUCUAAGAAUAGGCUAGCCUUGGGAGGGGCCAUCUCUUCCCAGUCAGCAAGGCCACAAGUGCCAGAGCAUCAAGAAUGCAGACAAUUAAAAAAAAAAAAAAAGUUAAUACAAUUGCCAUGUGAUGAAUGAAUGCCAAAUACAUAAAUACAGAUUCUCAGAAAACACAGAACAAUUUUACCUAUUUGUCUUGCCUUAUUGCAUGAGCUGGAAUGUCCAUCACAAUGAAUGGGGGCAGUGAGAGCAGACCUCUUUGCCUUACUCCUGAUCUUGGGGGGAAAAGAGGAGCAGGGUGAGGUGCCAUGGAUGGGGAAGGGACUGGAACAGUGACAGAUGUGGCCAAUGAAGAAGGGAGAACAGAAACUUAGUAGAACUUGGAGGAAGAUCUAAGGCCGUAUUCUCAAAUUGUGAUCCACAGCUCAUAGUCCUCACUCUGUCCCUGCUUCUGAUCACACUCCUGACCCCUCCCCCACAGCCACCCCCUGGGCUAAAAGGCUGCAUUUAGGCUCUGCCCAUCCAGGACAGGGAGGAUGCUACCUGGACAGGGAGGAUGAACAAACACAAAGACCACACACCAUCUGUGAGCAGAAAUCAUGUCUCCUAAUUUCAAGUGUCAUAGGGAUCCUACUGGGGCCAGGGGCUUGAACAUGACAUGGAAUGUGCAGCUUGCAUCUAGGGAGAUUGUAUAUGGGAGAGGCAGGGCCUGAGGCACCCAGGCGACAGGUACUCUGCCAAAGUGACCCAGAGCCUGUUGAGUAAACAUGGCACGCUGCCCAACAGAAGGGGCUGGGGCACCCCCUAGUGGGGUCCAGCCCCCUCCUUGGGUGACCUGGCAAAGAAGAGACUGUCCAGCCAGAUUCCACAGCCAGGGAGGUAAGGUGGGAAUAAAAUUCAGGUGUCACCCCUCAGGGCAGGCCACCCUCUAGAGGAACUGCCAAAAAGGCAGUCGGUCCUUUGUCCUCUCUUCUGUCCACCUUUCCAGCUGUCACCAUUCACCUAAACGUCUUUCACAGCCCAGUGGACUCCAUGACAUUAAGGCUGCUUCCUGAUGGUGCCUCAGUUUCCUGAUGGUGAAAAUAGAAAAACAACAAAUCCACCACCCAAUGUUGUAGGGCUGAAAAUGAGGCAAUGGAUGUGUAGGGCCUGGCUCAGAGAAGGGGAUUCCAUGAAAAUGCAGAACCUGUCUCCUGGGGCCUGGGAGGAGGUAUAAGAAAUGCAGACACAGGGACAGGGCAGGGGCUGCCUGGAAGGCCCUGGGAGAAGCGUGGGGGAAAAUUAGGACUGAGGAAGCAACUGAGAAAGGAAACUGGUCUUCUUGCUUCGGCCUCCAGAAGAUGGGGCCACUUCCUGUGAUGAAAUCAUGUUCUCCAAUCCCCACCAUCUACUGAGUAAGCCAAUGCCAACCUCAUUCUGAGGAGGGAGGGAGCUGAGCCUCCUAACCAGCACAGAGAGUCACCAAUGGUCUCAGCCCCAGUAUCUCGUCCCCACCCACCAGCAGUCACAGGCUGGCAGUGCCCUCGAUUGGAGACGGUCCAGGGACCAUCCUGAGGGUGACUCAUUACUACUCUGGGCCUUAUUUCCCCCCCUGGUCAAGGAAGGCCCCCAAUUAGCCAGGGCUCUCACAGCUGUGGAGGGAAUGACCUAAGGAGCAUUAUAAAAAUACAGCCUCCUGGGGCUUACCCUCCAGAAGGGAGCCAAGGCCCAAGGUUGUGUGGUGCAACUUGGUGGGAGCAUCCAGAAGGAGCAGAAGGCUCUGUGGACUCAGCGAGACUGGAGUUUGAGUCCUGGACCUGCCUCAAGGGUCACUGACCUGAGGCAGGGCUUCUCUGAGCCCUUGGUCUCCUCAUCUGUGGAGUGGAGGACAGAGGGGCCUACCGAUCCAGUCUUGCCUCCUGUGGGUCAGGGCAUGGGCUCCAGAAGGCCCACCCUCACCUCUUAACCCCAGGAAUGGUGUGAGACUGCACAAAAGGAGCUGACCAGGGGAGGGGAAGGAGCCUGGUAGGCCUGGGUCCUGGGCAGGGGAACCCCUGCUGGGAGGGAGAGCGGCCAGGUGCAAGUUGGGUGUCCUUGGUGCCUGGUGCUGGGGUCGAGGCCAUCUGAUCACCAGUGGGUCCCUCCUCCUUCCUCUGGGGAGGCGUUAGCUGGGCAGAGACUCAUGGCUGCCUGUCCUCUGGCUGGAAAAGCCAAAGCUGGUUCUGCUGCAGCCCCUUCACCUGGACGACAGACAGAGGCCAGAAGAUGCACAGAGAGCCAGUAAGAAGGAGAGGUAGAGAGACAGAGACUGACUCCUGAGGAGAGGUGGCCAGGAGCUGAGAUGGGAGAGGCGAGGCCACAGAUGGCCAAGGUGUGGGGUGGCCUUGUGAAGAAAGAACCAUGAACCAUGGCCAUGUGAAGAAAGGCCAUGAACUAUGGCCCUCCAUGUGAAGAAAGAAGUUGGGGGCCUUUCUCACGGCUCCUGUGCACUGACCACAAAGGAGGCGCUUUUGCAAUGUAGAAAAAGAAGAAACCAGAUUGAUAAAGGAAGUGCUGGGUACUCCGGGGGCCCGCGAGUUUGGGGAAGCUCACCCUCCCUUGCUCUUCCGAAGGAACCUGAUCCACGCUUUCCACGUUCCUCUGGACUCCCCGAGGAGGCAUGUCUGUAGGGCCUGCCCUCUGGCCUUGACAGAGCUGCUUGGCUUCUCCUCUCCUGGGAGGAGAGUGAGACCAUGGGUCCGUCCCUGCUGCUGUCCCUGCUGCUGCUGCCGGCAUCUCUGCAGGCUGGCAGCUCAAAAGAAUGCAAUCCAAACACUGACUUUGGGGUCAACCAACCAGCAUCUCUCUCAGCCCCCGAGGGUGGUUCCACCUGCAUCUCUUUCUCCUACUUCCACUGCUGGGAGUUAGCCAAGGAUCCCAGACUGAGUAUAGCCGUCAGAAGGACAGACUUCCCUGGAGAGGUCAUCUACAACAGUACGAAGCGUUUUAUCCAUAAGGAUUACAAGAACCGGAUCUCCCUGGACUUGAGAGAGGGUCAGAACUCCGGCACCCUGUGUAUACGGAACCUGCGGAAAGAAGAUGAGAAUAGGUACUUUUGCCGGGUCCAAGUGGAAACGCUAAGAGACGGCAAACAGGUGUGGCAGUCCAUCCCAGGGACCAAACUCACCAUUACAGACGCUGCCCAGAUGACCACAAUCACCAAGGGCCCUACCACCACUGUCAUCACCACCACCACAAGGGACAUGAAUAUGGAAACUGUGGUCAAGUUGGCACUGCCCAUUGCUGUGUUCAAAACUGCAAUUUUGGGACUGGUUGUCUACCUCUGGUGGAAGAGAAGCAAAGAGGAAAAAAUCACAGUGGUUGUCUCUAGAGUGAGGAUGAGGGUUGGAGAUGAAGAAAAACAUGACAUAGUCACUGAGGAUAUAGAAGACAGUAUUUAAGGAUUCAACUCAGAUGAGAAGCCAUAAACUCUGUAAAGGCAUUGCCUCAUGUUUUUCCUCAUGCAGGAUGAAGUGCAGGAUGACAGCAGCAUCCUCUAUGCCUCCCUCACCCUCUCCAGCUCGUCACCGGCAGCCCCUCCCUGCACCCCUCCCAAGGAGAGCCCGCAGGAGACCUUGUACUCUAUCGGAAAGGCCCAGUGAGCAGGACUGAAUGGGGACUCCCUGAGACUAAGCUGCACAGAAGGUCACAGCUUCUAGUAAUAACCCUGGCCAGACACAGACAAAAGCCAGUGGGUGUGGAAGGCCACCAAGGACCAGAGAGAAACAGAGCCAUCUGCUUCCAUUCCCUCUUCAACUGCCCAGCCCUUGCCCACAAAAAUAAAAGUACUAGUAGGAUUUGCCUGAAGGCACCUAAGGAGAAA